rnacentral:rRNA from 1 species
AACGAAUGCUGGCGGCAUGCCUAACACAUGCAAGUCGAACGAGACCUUCGGGCCGAGUGGUGCAAGGGUGUGUAACGCGUGGGAAUCUGCCCUCGGGUUCGGAAUGACAGCUGGAAACGACUGAGCAUACUGGAUGCUGACGCAAGUCCAAAGUUUUAUUGCCCAAGGCUAAGCCCGCGUAGGCUUAGCUAGUUGGUGAGGUAAAGGCUCAUCAAUGCGACGAUCCUUAGCUGGUCUGAGAGGAUGGUCGGCCACACUGGGACUGAGACACGGCCCAGACUCCUCCGGGAGGCAGCAGUGGGGAAUAUUGGACUACGGGCGAAAGCCUGAUCCAGCACUGCCGCUUGAGUGAUGAAGUCCUUAGGGUUGUAAAGCUCUUUUACCCGGGAUGAUAAUGGCAGUACCGAGAGAAUAAGCUCCGGCUAACUCCGUG